rnacentral:rRNA from 1 species
UACAGAGGUCCCAAGCGUUGUUCGGAUUCACUGGGCGUAAAGGGUGCGUAGGUGGUGGGGUAAGUCGGAUGUGAAAGCUCGGAGCUCAACUCCGAAAAUGGCAUUGGAAACUACCCUGCUAGAGGAUUGGAGGGGGGACUGGAAUACUUGGUGUAGCAGUGAAAUCGUAGAUAUCAAGUGGAACACCAGUGGCGAAGGCGAGUCCCUGGACAAUACCUGACACUGAGGCACGAAAGCUAGGGGAGCAAACAAG